UACAGAGGUCUCAAGCGUUGUUCGGAUUCAUUGGGCGUUAAAGGGUGCGUAGGCGGCGCGGUAAGUCGGGUGUGAAAUCUCGGGGCUUAACUCCGAAACUGCAUUCGAUACUGCCGUGCUUGAGGACUGGAGAGGAGACUGGAAUUUGACGGUGAGCGGUGAAAUGCGUAGAUAUCGUAAGGAAGACCAGUGGCGAAGGCGGGUCUCUGGACAGUUCCUGACGCUGAGGCACGAAGGUCAGGGGAGCAAACGGG
rnacentral:rRNA from 1 species